UAACUUUAUUUAGAUAAUUCGAUCAGUUUUCGAUUCUAAACGAAUUAUCGAUGUGUACGGUUACUCAUUUUCAUUCAUUUUUAGUCUGUGGUUGCAAUAUUGUUUCUGCACAACAUUAAAGAAAUUAAAGAAUAGGAAACGUCAAAAUCCGUCAAAAUUAGCAUUUUAUUUUUCUCUGUGGAUCUAAAUUUUUGUUUUCAUUUAGUUUUUAUUAAAAAUUGUGAUUAAAUCAUGGAUAAAUUGAAUGAAUGUUACGUAUAUAGUUUACUUAAGAAUGUUGUUCGUGGACCACAAGGCGUUUGUGCGUGUUUUUAACUGUUUUAUCAUCGGAAAAAGUGUUAACAAAGUUACGUGUUGGCGAAAAGGUGUGUUUGUUUAUGUUUUGGAUCAAUUUAACCGGAACGGACUUUUUUUAUCUCGAUUUUUGCUAUUAAUAAUGAGACCACGGACUGAAUACGGAAUCCACGAAUCUCUCUAAAUUGAGAUGUGUUAAUUGUGGCAUCAAUGUAAAUUAAAGGAAUAGGCAUAAUAGCCUUGAAUUGGUAGAGGUUAUGUUAGUAAUAUAACACUGGAUUGCACCCCAAGUGCAGGUGACUGAGACUACCAGUGUGCCUUUUUUGUUGGACUCCUAGUCACUCCAAUGGGACUAAUGAUGAUUAACCUACUAGUGAUUGACCAUUGUCGUCUUUCUAUUAGCUGUGGAUGCUCUUCGAUGAGAACAAGAUUUCACAAGCUACAUACUGACCUAGAAAUUUGAGACAUGCAUAUAUAUCAUAAUAAUGGAGAUGAUUAUACCAUAACAGCUGCAUGGAUCUGAUGAAAUCUGUCACCCCUGUUGGAAGAGAAGUAAUCGAUUGAAAGCACAUACUCUUGAGCCACCUGGAUCAUCAAUUAUUGUUCUACCGAACUUGAAAAGAGGACCAGAUACCCAAGUGCAUUGUUUUUUUCCAGACUGUAACUCACCACAAAGAUUAUUAUUAAUUCCUAAAUGGUUAAGGUUGAAGCUUUUUACAGAUUUUAUGUUCUAGCAAAUUGUAGGAUUUGUUCAUGCUAUGUACAAAAUGAUAAUUGGCAGCAAUUAUCUGAUAUUCCACAAUCAAUAUAUUUUGUAAAUAUUUUAAUGUAAAUAAUAUACCAGGCAGACAAGCUAUAACACAACUGCUGUAAUUGCAUUGUGUCAUCGAUAGACAGUAGAUGGGUGCCCAUGUCAUAACUAUUAUUAGGUAUAUGAGCUGGGUGAAGUAUCAAGAAAACUUGAAUUCAUUUGUUCAAUUGUUCUUAGAUAACGUUUCAUUAACAUGUUCAAACUUAGAUUAAUAAAAAAAUAUAAAA